AGUGAACGCUGGCGGUAGGCCUAACACAUGCAAGUCGAACGGCAGCACAGUAAGAGCUUGCUCUUACGGGUGGCGAGUGGCGGACGGGUGAGGAAUACAUCGGAAUCUACUUUUUCGUGGGGGAUAACGUAGGAAAACUUACGCUAAUACCGCGUACGACCUACGGGUGAAAGCAGUGGAUCUUCGGACCUUGCGCGAUUGAAUGAGCCGAUGUGGGAUUAGCUAGUUGGCGGGGUAAAGGCCCACCAAGGCGGCGAUCCGUAGCUGGUCUGAGAGGAUGGUCGGCCACACUGGAACUGGGACACGGUCCAGACUCCUACGGGAGGCAGCAGUGGGGAAUAUUGGACAAUGGGCGCAAGCCUGAUCCAGCCAUACCGCGUGGGUGAAGAAGGCCUUCGGGUUGUAAAGCCCUUUUGUUGGGAGAGAAAAGCAGCAGGUUAAUACCCCGCUGUUCUGACGGUACCCAAAGAAUAAGCACCGGCUAACUUCGUG
rnacentral:rRNA from 1 species